UACGGGGGGGGCAAGCGUUGUUCGGAAUUACUGGGCGUAAAGGGCUCGUAGGCGGCCAACUAAGUCCGACGUGAAAUCCCCAGGCUUAACCUGGGAACUGCGUCGGAUACUGGAUGGCUUGAAUUCGGGAGAGGGAUGCAGAAUUCCAGGUGUAGCGGUGAAAUGCGUAGAUAUCUGGAGGAAUACCGGUGGCGAAGGCGGCAUCCUGGACCGACAUUGACGCUGAGACGCGAAAGCGUGGGGAGCAAACAGG
rnacentral:rRNA from 1 species